ensembl:lncRNA
GAGUUCAGUUUGAGAUUGGACAAUGAACUACUGAUACAUAUCAGAGAUCAGAGUGUGACUCCAAGUAACUGGGCAGAAAACAUACUGUCACUAACUCAGAGUACAGCUAAACAAGAUGAAUCUAGUGUUUCAGAUGUUGUCAUCGGUUUACAUGGUCAGCGGACAGGAAAUCUGACGUGUAAGGUGUGGAACAAGGUCAGCAAACAUGAAACAGCUAUUUACCUGACAGGCUGUAAAGAUUUUACUUCAUUCCCUGCUGUGACUGUGGCUGUGAAAGCUGGUGUUUUCACCCUCCUUCUCCUUGUGGCUCUGUAUCUUGGUAGAAAAAAACUUUGUAACAAACCAAGACCACCAACUGUUCAUGAGCGAAAUUCUGAAAAUGAAAUCAUCUACACAAAUGCUAAAGUACAAAGACAUGAAGAAAACCAGCCACAACUCACCUAACAACUAACAACAUUUUAUUCUACUCUAACUUACCCUUCCUAAACCUCACUGUCUUUUUCUUAUAGACUGAUGUUUGUGUGUGGAUUUGCCUGUUAAAAAUACCCAUGUAAUAAGAUUUAUCUGUCAGUAAUCUCUGUUGUAAUGUGUCAUUGUAGACAUUAAUAGAACAAAGUACAAUAUAUAAGCAAAGCAGUGACUAAAUGAACAUUCUCAUUAAACGAGGUCAUGGUUGAAGCCAUGAUGAAGCCACCUGGAUGGAAGAACUUAAAGCAAGUCCAGUUGUUACAGAACAGCGUUUUUUUACUAUAAAUGUAGUGACUAUUUCUGACUGAAAGAUGGAGCCAAAGUGAUCUUUUUAUCAUUACAUAAAGAUGAGUAAACAACAUACAUACAUUUAAUUAUGUGUUUUUUAUUUUAGUUUUCUGUAAAUGCUGUACUGCUGUAAUGCUGCAAAGCACCAUUUCCGUUUCAAGACUAUUUUCUGGUUUGUAAUGCUACUAAUUGGUGUGUGGGGCUUUCUCAAGUCAUAAAAUGUCAGCAGCCUUUGAAAAACCUGUUUAGUCUUCUCACAUGUAACCACUGUCUGUAGGUUUUCUUAAAUGCAGCUGUGCUUUCAGUCUCAAAUCUGACCACAGUCAACAUAGGCUGCAUAUGAGAAGGUCAUUGCUUUAAUGAUUUAUUUCCAUAACAUUUUUUUUCUGCCUUCAUCAAUAGAGUAGAUCAAAUCUCUGUUAAAACUGAAAUUCACAUUCUACCUGUCUUAUGACCAAUAAACUGUAAAUAAACAGUCUGAUUGACUGACUGGCUCAUUGUCCGAGUUAAAUGGAUUAAUUCACAGAUACAUUUUGUUAGUUUACAGUCAGUGAUAAAAUUCACUCAACAAACAGUGUCCCACGUGUAAAACUGUGCACAUUCUCCUCCUUGUUUCAAUGAAAGGAGAUAACAGCAGGCUGC